rnacentral:rRNA from 1 species
GGAGCCUGGGCUGUCGUCACCGGGCCAACAUCAGGCAUCGGACGUGCCAUGUCCCUGGAGCUCGCACGGUCUGGCCUCAAUCUUGUCCUCGUCGGUCGUAACCCCGCCAGACUCCGCGACAUCUCCGAAACGAUCUCUAGGACAUACGCAAUGCAGACCAAGACCGUGUUGUUCGAUUUCUCCCUCGCAUCCACUGCGCAAGGCGACGAGGCGAUGAGUCGCCUCCGGGAGGCCAUCGCGGGACUGAAUGUAGGGAUGCUGGUGAACAACGCCGGGGUGGCGAAGCCGGGCGCGGUGUACCUCCACGAGGUGGACGUGGAAGCGUGGGUGAGGAUGAUACGCGUGAACGUACUGGCGCUAACGGAGGUGACAGCGGAGGUGCUGCCAGGGAUGGUGCGCCGGGGCAGGGGUGCAGUCGUGAACAUCGGCUCGGGCUCAGGAUCAGUCCUUCCCUCCCACCCUCUUUACUCUGUCUACGUCGCCACUAAACGGUACAUUGCAGAGUUCUCCAGGAGCCUCUCCGUGGAGUACCAGAGCGCAGGCAUCGAUGUGCAAUGUCAGAUCCCAUUCGUGGUGGAGACGAACAUGGUGUCGAGUGCCGUGAAGAACAGCUUCUUUGUUCGGCCGUGGGUGCUUAGCCCGGACACCUACGCACGAGCGGCAGUGCGCUGGAUCGGGCACGGGACGCUGUGCAUCCCCAACUUCGCGCACCGCCUCCAGUGGUGGUUCACCUGUCUCUUCCCGGACUCCUUCAAAGACAUGAACCUCCUGAAGCGGAAUUUGCAGCACAGAGCCAUCUUUAGGAGGAUCAAGCCGUUGAGGGAAACGCGGGCGAACUCACGGGAGUGA